UCCCUGGUGGCUCAGAUGGUAAAGGACCCGCCUGUAGUGCGGGAGACCUGGGUUCAAUCCCUGGGUUGGGAA
rnacentral:tRNA from 1 species